UACGUAGGUGGCAAGCGUUGUCCGGAUUUACUGGGCGUAAAGAGCGCGCAGGCGGUCGUUCAAGUCGCGUGUGAAAGCCCCCGGCUCAACUGGGGAGGGUCACGCGAUACUGAUCGACUCGAAGGCAGGAGAGGGUAGUGGAAUUCCCGGUGUAGUGGUGAAAUGCGUAGAUAUCAUUUGGAACGCCAAUGGUGAAAACAGCUCGCUGGGAAUGAUCUGACACUGAGACGCGAAAGCCAGGGAGCGAACGGG
rnacentral:rRNA from 1 species